UCCCUGGUAGUCCACGCUGUAAACGAUGUCGACUUGGAGGUUGUGCCCUUGAGGCGUGGCUUCCGGAGCUAACGCGUUAAGUCGACCGCCUGGGGAGUACGGCCGCAAGGUUAAAACUCAAAUGAAUUGACGGGGGCCCGCACAAGCGGUGGAGCAUGUGGUUUAAUUCGAUGCAACGCGAAGAACCUUACCUACUCUUGACAUCCACGGAAUUCGCCAGAGAUGGCUUAGUGCCUUCGGGAACCGUGAGACAGGUGCUGCAUGGCUGUCGUCAGCUCGUGUUGUGAAAUGUUGGGUUAAGUCCCGCAACGAGCGCAACCCUUAUCCUUUGUUGCCAGCACGUAAUGGUGGGAACUCAAAGGAGACUGCCGGUGAUAAACCGGAGGAAGGUGGGGAUGACGUCAAGUCAUCAUGGCCCUUACGAGUAGGGCUACACACGUGCUACAAUGGCAUAUACAAAGAGAAGCGAACUCGCGAGAGCAAGCGGACCUCAUAAAGUAUGUCGUAGUCCGGAUUGGAGUCUGCAACUCGACUCCAUGAAGUCGGAAUCGCUAGUAAUCGUAGAUCAGAAUGCUACGGUGAAUACGUUCCCGGGCCUUGUACACACCGCCCGUCACACCAUGGGAGUGGGUUGCAAAAGAAGUAGGUAGCUUAACCUUCGUGACCGCGCA
rnacentral:rRNA from 1 species